UAGGGAAUCUUCAACAAUGGACGCAAGUCUGAUGGAGCAACGCCGCGUGAGUGAAGAAGGUUUUCGGAUCGUAAAGCUCUGUUGUUGGUGAAGAAGGAUAGAGGCAGUAACUGGUCUUUAUUUGACGGUAAUCAACCAGAAAGUCACGACUAACUACGUGCCAGCAGCCGCGGUAAUACGUAGGUGGCAAGCGUUGUCCGGAUUUAUUGGGCGUAAAGCGAGCGCAGGAGGAAUGAUAAGUCUGAUGUGAAAGCCCACGGCUCAACCGUGGAACUGCAUCGGAAACUGUCAUUCUUGAGUGCAGAAGAGGAGAGUGGAAUUCCAUGUGUAGCGGUGGAAUGCGUAGAUAUAUGGAAGAACACCAGUGGCGAAGGCGGCUCUCUGGUCUGCAACUGACGCUGAGGCUCGAAAGCAUGGGUAGCGAACAGG
rnacentral:rRNA from 1 species